UAUUGAGAAAAGCACAAACGAGCAAGAGGGU
rnacentral:piRNA from 1 species